rnacentral:pre_miRNA from 13 species
CCAGUCACACCCGGUGGCGACAAAAUAUCUCGCCAGGGCCUCCAAAAUGUACCUGAGCGAGUCAAGGAAUGUGCCACACUGUGAGAUCGAAUUAUGAGUCCUUUAUUAU